AUUAUUAUUAUUAUUAUUAUUAUUAUUAUUAUUAUUAUUGGUAAGCAAGUCUGAGAGGUUUUGUUACUCCAGUGUUUUUGUUUGAGUUAUGAGUGGCACAUGUUCUUACACUGACAACAAAUAAAACAGAGACCAGGUGAAAAGUGCUGUUCAAUAUAAAUGACAAGAAGGUCAGUCCAUGGAUGCUUAGAACCGACUGAAAGAUAAAAGCUAAAUCAUGAGAGUCUGGAGAGCCGUGGGAGUCUUUUCGAACUGCGAUUGCUACAUGAAGGAAAUGUUGCUGUGAUUAACCCAAUAUACAUUUGCAGGGAAGCAGAAGGAACCAAAGCCAAAAGCAUAAGAGAGACAACCAACUGUUGAAAAAGGCAGUUAGCUACAGCAGUGACUGGAAACCUGCUGUCCAGGUGUGUAAAAAUACACACAGAUCAUUCUGGUAAAACUAACAGUACAGGAAAUAUUCAUUUAGAGCUGAGAGCAUCAAACACAAAUAGAGUUUAACCCGAGUGCUGGACUUCGUGCUGAAACUGAGAGAGAGAGGAGAGGAGAAUGGCUCUGAGCACUGAGCAAGCUCUGGCACUGCUACUGAUCUUAAACAGCGCUCACCUCACAGCAGCAGAUUGCUCUGCACAAGACCCUGUUCCUGCCUCUGGCUCAGCUGGGGGGAGAGCAGUGCUGCCCUGUUCUUACACCCCCACCCCUGGGCUGGAUGUAGAAGUCAGAUGGGAGGCAUAUCCAGAUCAGGUUAAAUCUGUUCUAUUAAUCGCCUCAAAGACCCCCUCAGCACCCAUCCCUGCGCAGUGGAGCGGCCGAGUGAAGCUGUCUGAUGAAGUCUCCUCUGGAAACGCCUCUCUGCUAAUCUCUGAGCUCAGACUGGAGGACACUCUGGAUUACUUGUGUACAGUGUGGAUCAAUGGGAUAUGUGUCACUUACAGGAGUGUUAAACUGACCGUUCAAGUUGCUAAAAAACCGAAUGAGUCGGUAAUGAAGGCACUAGCCGAAACGCCUGUCUACUUGACUUGUAAGUCUCUUCUGAUUGCCCUGAACCAGACCAUGUUGAUGUCUCUGGCUCAGCUGGGGGAAGAGCAGUGAUGCCCUGUUCUUACACCCCCACCCCUGGGCAGGAUGUAGAAGUCACAUGGUAUGCAUAUCCAGAUCAGGGAGAAGCUGUUCUAUUAAUCAACUCAAAGACCCCCUCAGCACCCAUCCCUGCACAGUGGAGCGGCCGAGUGAAGCUGUCUGAUGAAGUCUCCUCUGGAAACGCCUCUCUGCUAAUCUCUGAGCUCAGACUGGAGGACACUCGGGAUUACACGUGUGACGUGUGGAUCAAUGGGAUAUGUGUCACUCACAGGGCUGUUAAACUGACAGUUCAAGGACCUCCAAAGAGAGAUUCAACUACUGCAACAACCCAGGAAACCAGCCCAUGCCCAACCCAGCAGGGGAAUGCAGCAGCACAGAGGAGAUCGUACUGCAUGAAACCGCUUUGAUAACUGGAUUCUAAUCGGAUUGCAUGUACCUGUAUUUAGUGAGUGUUGUGAGUUAAGCGGAAGUUCAAUUAUUCCUGUGUGUUGCUGCUGCUGGUUCCCUAUGCCAGUAUAGUCCAUUGUGAAAGAGUAUUGCUGUUACUGUAACCCGCUGCAUCCUGCCUGUGCCGACAUCUCUUCAUUUCUAUAUCAUUUUAAUAAGAGCGUUUUAGCAUUUUGAUAUAUUUCAGGUUCUAUUCAUCCCUGAUUGCUGUUGCUUUAUUUGUUAAUAAAGUCGUUGUUGCUGUUUACUAUAGAUCAUUGUUAAUAACAUGUUUUAUAUUAGUGAUGUGAAGGCAGUUUAGUAAUUUGUCUCUGUUUCCAUGCCAGUUAGGAUCCCUUAGUGUGCAUUCAGGUGAAAGACUCCACUCUUAUCUCAUCAUCACAAGUUUGUUCUUUGUAGAAGAGGGUUCCGAUUCCUCACUUAAUGUCCAUUUACUGAUAUUUAUCCAUCUAAUCUGUGCCCAUUCACUGCAAUAAGAGAUCGCUUCUAAUUUGUAUUUCUCAACCUGUUUCUGGGAAGCACAUAAUUGAAUACCCAUCAAAGACUGGAUCUUGCUAAUUAAAGAAAAAACAAUUACUAAAUGCAAACUGAACAGUGAUAUUUUUUAUUGUUUUCCUGUAUUGCUUUUGUAAAAUAAAAUCUAGACAUUUUUAUUCUUCA